CUCUUCCAUACAGCAGCCAGGAAAAUUUAAAAUCUGAAAUUGCAGUUAGCUAGAGUGUGAACCUUCCAUCCAUUGUCUGGGGCCAUGGGCCAACAGAUAGAACCACUAUUGGAGUCUUGGAAUACCUGGUUAAACCUAAUGAAGCGGGCAGAAUUGAACCUCUGAGCCUGAAACUGACUGCAGAUUUGCUGAAAGUAAUAGAAAGCUGUGAAUGGACAACCAGAUUCAAAGGUGUAUCAAUGUGAAAGAAGUUGAAUCUAUUGCCAGAAAGAGUAUGAGAGGAACCAGAUAAUGGGAACAAAACCUUCGUAGCCAUCCUGGUCAAUGCACAGAGGCAAGAAUCUAGUUGGGUGUGUGAUAGGAAAAUACAAGAUUUUUUUUUUCUCUAAGUGUGAUGGAUAGGCCUACAGCUCUAGCAUGGCCUGGUAAGAAGACCCAGGAGACCCAGACUGAGUGCCUGUUGUGACACUCUUGGUAGUGAGAUGUUUGAUAAAUCACUUCUCUGCUCUAGGUCUCAGGAUUCUCCUGAAUAAAAAUAAACUCAUCCCUUCUGGACUCUA